UACAGAGGUGGCAAGCGUUGUUCGGAAUUACUGGGCGUAAAGGGCGCGUAGGCGGCCCUGUAUGUCCCGUGUGAAAUCCCCCGGCUCAACUGGGGAAUGGCACGGGAAACUGUAGGGCUUGAGUUCGGGAGAGGGAAGCGGAAUUCCGGGUGUAGCGGUGAAAUGCGUAGAUAUCCGGAGGAACACCGGUGGCGAAGGCGGCUUCCUGGACCGACACUGACGCUGAGGCGCGAAAGCUAGGGGAGCAAACGGG
rnacentral:rRNA from 1 species